rnacentral:tRNA from 1 species
CUCCAGUUAGCCUAGUGGUUAAGGUUAUGGAUCGCCAAUCCAGGGACUGCGGGUUCGAUUCCCGUUCGGGAAA